rnacentral:lncRNA from 1 species
AAAACUUUGGGAUUUUCUGAGUUGAUUUGAUAUUUGUCCCAUGUUGCCUAGAGACUGAGGAGCUACGAGAGUAGCAGGCUAUACGAUCCCCAGCGGAGAGUAGCAGGCUAUACAGCUUGCGAAGGCGCUGAAGAAAAGACCUGCACCAGUAUCUUGCCUUGGCCGUUGGCUGAAAGUCAUCAACAGCUGAGUUUAAUUAACCGUUGGAUGCGCAUACAGAUUAAUUAACGUUCCCCUUGCUGCACUAUAGUUGUAUGUACAAGCAGUACAAAUAUAGAUUAAAAUAACCCUACAAAGUGGGUGCGUAGCGCGAGUAAUGUGGCGUGGAUACACGUGGAUGACACAAUUUUGUAGGUUUCAACAUACUUUUUUCAAUAGGAGCUAAAAGACACACACGUUAGGGCUAUGCUUUUUAUUUUACAUGUGUGACUUUAUUUGCAGGUACUUCAUAGUAAUCGAUGAUAUAUGGGAUUCCCCAGCAUGGAAUCUUAUUAAAUGUGCUCUUCCAAAUGACGAUUGUGGCAGUUGUGUGGUGACAACUACAAGGAUUCGCUCUGUUGCGGAUGACUGUUACAAACACAGCAGAGGAUAUGUUCAUGAGAUGAAACCACUAAAUGGCCAAGACUCGAAAAACCUAUUUGUUUGUAGAAUGUUUGGUUCCCCUAAAGUACCAGAAGAUAUUUCAAAUGAUAUUCUGAAAAAAUCUGGUGGCUUGCCCCUUGCUAUUAUUAGUAUAGCAAGUCUUCUCGCACAUAACCAAAGGCCAGGAUGGGAUUCUAUAAGGAAUUCUUUGGUGUCUGUGUUUGAAGAAAAUCAUGAUGAUCUUAAAGAUAUGAAGCAAAUAUUGGAUCUUAGCUACAUGCAUCUCCCUCAUCAUCUUAAGACAUGCCUUCUUGAUAUUGGGAAGUACCAAGAGGACCAGGAGAUAGAGAAGGAGGAUAUGUUGAGGCAAUGGACAGCUCAAGGUUUUGUGAGUGCAACUCGUGUGCGUGAUGCAGAGGAUGUCGCAGAAGACUACUUCUAUGAACUCAUCAACAUGAGCAUGAUCCAACCUGGCAAGAUGGACUUCGAUGAGGUGUUGUCUUGCAGAGUGCAUGAUAUAAUGCUUGACCUUAUCAGAUCCAAGGCCACGGAAGAGAAUUUCAAUCUUUUAAUAGAUGGGCCAAAAGUUGUUAGAGGGGAACACAAAAGGGUCCGUCGAGUGGCCAUUUACUAUGAUGGCGAAGAAGAUGGCGGAAUACUGGCAGCAAUCAAUGAUGGAUCACUAUCGCAUGUUCGAUCAGUCUUACUUUUCAGAGGGUGUCUUGUGCCUUCUUUUCUGGUGCUGAAGUAUAUCCGAGUUCUUCAGCUUGAAGGUGAAAGAGGCCAGAGUCUAGACCUCACUGGUAUCCGUGCAUUAUUUCUACUAAGGUAUCUAAAGAUUUAUUGCAAGAAAGGUUUGACGCUACCUAGACAAAUUGGCGAGCUACAACAAUUGGAGACAUUACAAGUUGAAGGGUUAAAUGAACUGGCAUUUCUCCCAUCAGAUAUUUUUACUUGGCCGCGGUUGUCACAUAUUAGUUAUUUAGAUGGUGUCGUGUUGCCUGACGGGAUUAGUGGCUUGAAAUCUCUGCGCACUCUGCGAGGUAUUGCUUUUUUGGAAAGCUCAGUGGACAAUAUCAAGGGCCUUGGCGAGCUGACCAAAUUGAGGGAACUUGAGAUGUUUUCGGAACUUCGGAUCUGUAAUGAAUCGGAUAAAUUCGAGUGGGACAUGCAUAUUGAUGCCUUGCGCUCUUCCAUUGUAAAGCUUUCGGGUAGUCUCAGGAGUCUUACUAUCGGAGAAGGAUGCCUCACCUUGCUACCGGUCCAUGGGUGGAGCAGCACACUAACCCCACCUCGCCAUCUUCAGAAACUCAAUCUGUCUAGCUGCGAUUUCCGAAGAAUCCCCGAGUGGAUCUCUCAGCUCCGUGAGCUCUACAGUUUAACACUUUUCGUCAGGGAGCUGGCUGAUAGUGUCAGUAUCGUUGCAGGGUUGCCUUCCCUUGCAUACUUAGAACUGGAGGUUGGCCCUAUCAAUUUGCAGUCCUCCAAGGAGAAGGUAAUCAUCUCAGGUAGGGAAUUUGGAGCGCUCAAGCACCUGAUUUUGCGAUGUCCCAAUCUGUCGCUGGAAUUCAAGGAAGGUGCUCUGCCCAGGCUGGAGAAGCUCCACAUAUGCUUCCGUUACUUCAUGUCUGCUGAAUUCCUACCGGUUGGCAUUAAGCACUUGCCAGUUGGCACUCUUCCGGAAAUCCGUUUAACGAUGGUGUCCACGGAAGAUACGGGGAAAGUGGCUUGCCAUAUCGAACAACUCAAGGCAGUUAUUCGGCUACGGUUGAAGAGAGCAUUUGAGCUGCAUCAUGCUACUGCCGACAUCACUGUGGAGUCGUGAUAACUCUGUGCCUUAAAGUCUUGUCCCCUGUUCGAAUGUGAUUUCCUAUUGUAAAGCAUGCAGAUAUUUUUUUCUGUCGCAAUUCCCUGGGACGUUGUAUUACUCUGUCAACAAAACCAAUUUCAAACAAUAGGAAUGUUCUGUGUGGCGGUUCCUUGCAUUAAAAAAACUCUCAUUUCUCCAUGGUAUUUGCUACCGGAGCGACGCCGCGGUGACGAUGACAAAGAUGGCGAGGCCGACGACGAGGACGCGCUGCUCCGUGGGGCCGCCCCGGGGGCGGGUUGAUGUUGAGCCCUCGACCGGCGCCGGAGAGACGACGACGACGCCGUGGUGAUGAUGAUGAAGAUGGUCCCGCCCGGACCUCGGUUCCGCGGCAGCUGCCGUAUCAUAGAAUCCCUCACGGUGGGCGCCAACUGUCGGGGUUAUCUCGCGGGCGGGUUCGCGAGACGACAGAUGCCACGUGGUGGCUUG